GAUGAACGCUGGCGGCGUGCUUAACACAUGCAAGUCGAACGAUGAAGCCCAGCUUGCUGGGUGGAUUAGUGGCGAACGGGUGAGUAACACGUGAGUAACCUGCCCUUAACUCUGGGAUAAGCCUGGGCAACUGGGUCUAAUACCGGAUAGGAGCGUCCACCGCAUGGUGGGUGUUGGAAAGAUUUAUCGGUUUUGGAUGGACUCGCGGCCUAUCAGCUUGUUGGUGAGGUAAUGGCUCACCAAGGCGACGACGGGUAGCCGGCCUGAGAGGGUGACCGGCCACACUGGGACUGAGACACGGCCCAGACUCCUACGGGAGGCAGCAGUGGGGAAUAUUGCACAAUGGGCGCAAGCCUGAUGCAGCGACGCCGCGUGAGGGAUGACGGCCUUCGGGGUGUAAACCUCUUUCAGUAGGGAAGAAGCGAAAGUGACGGUACCUGCAGAAGAAGCACCGGCUAACUACGUG
rnacentral:rRNA from 1 species